rnacentral:rRNA from 1 species
GAUGAACGCUGGCGGCGUGCCUAAUACAUGCAAGUCGAGCGAACAGAUGAGGCUCUUGCUCCUCUGACGUUAGCGGCGGACGGGUGAGUCACACGUGUAUACCCUACCUAUAAGACUGGGAUCACUUCGGGAACCCGGAUCUAAUACCGGAUAAUAUCUUGAACCGCAUGGUUCAUUAGUGAACGACGGUUUUGCUGUCACUUAUAGAUGGAUCCGCGCCGCAUUAGCUAGUUGGUACGGUAAAGGCUUACCAAGGCAACGAUGCGUAGCCGACCUGAGAGGGUGAUCGGCCACACUGGAACUGAGACACGGUCCAGACUCCUACGGGAGGCAGCAGUAGGGAAUCUUCCGCAAUGGGCGAAAGCCUGACGGAGCAACGCCGCGUGAGUGAUGAAGGUCUUCGGAUCGUAAAACUCUGUUAUUAGGGAAGAACAAAUGUGUAAGUAACUAUGCACGUCUUGACGGUACCUAAUCAGAAAGCCACGGCUAACUACGUG